rnacentral:tRNA from 1 species
GCCAGUGUGGUGUAGUGGCUUGAAUGCUGGAUUACAACUCUGGAGACCAGGGUUCAAAUCCUGGCUCAGCCA